rnacentral:misc_RNA from 1 species
GAUGAAGAACGUAGCGAAAUGCGAUAAGUAAUGUGAAUUGCAGAAUUCAGUGAAUCAUCGAAUCUUUGAACGCACAUUGCGCCCGCCAGUAUUCUGGCGGGCAUGCCUGUUCGAGCGUCAUUUCAACCAUCAAGCCCCCGGGCUUGUGUUGGGGACCUGCGGCUGCCGCAGGCCAUGAAAAGCAGUGGCGGGCUCGCUGUCACACCGAGCGUAGUAGAUUUUAUCUCGCUCAGGGCGUGCUGCGGGUUCCGGCCGUUAAACCACCUUCAUAACCCAAGGUUGACCUCGGAUCAGGUAGGAAGACCCGCUGAACUUAAGCAUAUCAAUAAGCGGAGGA